GGGGGCCCGCCCGCGCCCCUGCACCCGCCGCACCUUCUCCUCCUGGGAAAGUUCUCGAGCCCGACCCUGCGGCCUGCCGCCGGAGGGGGCAGCGGGCCCGUCCGGGCGAGCUGCGUGGAAAAGGAGAAGGAGAAAGGGAAGGGGAGGAAGGGGCGGGGAGGCUGGCGGGGCGAUCCCCUCCGACCCCACUUUCCGCCCCGGCGUGGGCCGCUCUGUCUCUCCCAGCGACACCAUUGUCACCCCCUCCAGGGGCGAGGAGUUUGGGCUCUGGGGUCAGGCUGCUUCGGUGCACAUCUUGCUCCACUCCUUACAAGUGUGCGCUUAGGCAACUUACUUUACCCAUCCCUGCAGAAAAAGAAAAGGCUAGGACCCGUCCAGGGCCAAUCCAGAGUGUGUGGGGCCUGACACGCCAAAGACGCGGGCGAGGGGAGCGGCCUUGCUCGGGGACAGGUGGCCGUCAGACUCGAGGCUCUGCAAGGGGCUGCACAGCGAGGGCCCUGAAGCCGCAGCUUCGUUUGCUCCGUGUUGAACGCCUCUGUACGGCUCUUGGGCUUAUAGACUAAGACAAACAAUAACGCAAUGAGCUCGCCGCGUCUAAGGUGCACUUUGCAUACUUUUCUCAUGGAAGCUCCACAUCUCUUUGCUGUAGGUCACUAUUGGUCAACAAAAUGGGCAAAUCAAAUUUAAAGAGGGAGCAGAAGGCAGAAGGAAAGAAGAGAGGAGAAUAAAAGGACCACAGGCAAGGGGCGAGGGAGAGAAUGAGGAGGGACAUCCUUUCCCUUGCCUGCUUCUCAGAGGGCAAAGAUUUUCUAUCUGUAAAGAAAUAUGAAGAAAAAAAUUCAAACAUACGUUGUCUUCUAACUAAAUUGUAAAACUGAAGCCAUAGUUGCAUUUUUAUUGUAUUAAUAUAAAAACAGCAAUAUUUUGUUGACAGAAAAUAAAAUGUGUGUCUCAGCAAUCUUGCUCCCCUGACUCUCACCCGGCGGGUUAGUCCCACGGUGGCUUUAGAGGGGCUGGGGGAUGGGAGGUCGCCUGUUGAGAUAAAGAAGGCAAGUUCACUACCUCUCCCUUGGGCAGAGAAGCGUUCAUGCAGGAAGUGAACUUUCAAAGACUUCAAAAAC
rnacentral:lncRNA from 1 species